GACGAACGCUGGCGGCGUGCCUAAUACAUGCAAGUUGAGCGCUUAAGGGUGGUACUUGUACCAACUGGAUGAGCAGCGAACGGGUGAGUACCGCGUGGGGACUCUGCCUUUGAGCGUGGGACAACAUUAGGAAACGAAUUCUAAUACCGCAUAAGAACUUUAAACACAAGUUUUAUGUUUGAAAGAUCCAUUUGCAUCACCUAAAUAUGAUCAGGCGUUGUAUUAGCUAGUUGGUGAGGUAAAGGCUCACCAAGGCGAUGAUACAUAGCCGACCUGAGAGGGUGAUCGGCCACAUUGGGACUGAGACACGGCCCAAACUCCUACGGGAGGCAGCAGUAGGGAAUCUUCGGCAAUGGACGAAAGUCUGACCGAGCAACGCCGCGUGAGUGAAGAAGGUUUUCGGAUCGUAAAACUCUGUUGGUAGAGAAGAACGUUGGUGAGAGUGGAAAGCUCAUCAAGUGACGGUAACUACCCAGAAAGGGACGGCUAACUACGUG
rnacentral:rRNA from 1 species